CUUCUUAAAGACAAUCCUUCUCUUUUCAAUGAACGCAAUCCCGUCAUGUAUCAUACGCCACUUCAUGUUUCUGUUGGUAAUGGUAAUGUUGAUAUAGUUAAGUAUCUUCUUUCUUGGACUGGAUCUGAUAAAGUUGAGUUGGAAGCUAUGAAUACCUAUGGUGAGACUCCAAUGCACAUGGCAGCCAAGAACGG